rnacentral:lncRNA from 1 species
CCUCAACGUUCCACAUUAGGGUUCCACAUUGGAGGUUCCCAGCAACCAGCGGCAUCCCUCUGCGGGCAGGUCGUUCAUCAGGGAGCCUAGGCGCCCUAAGGCCCUUUGGGGAGUCCAGUUGAAUCGGUGGCUGCAUGGAAAUAGGCGUCCAAAUAGGAGCAUCCUCAUCCAUUGGCGGUGGCGGGAGUCUGCUUCCAGUGCAGUGGAGGUGUUGGCAGCAUUUCUGGUGGCCAGGUCGGGACUCCAGUGGCCACAGUGUGGAGCGCUGGCUGUGGCGACAGCGACAGCGUAGGGCAGCGGGCCUCAGAGUCAGAGGGCGACCAGAGGAUGGGGUGCCCUGUGCUGUGGCUGCCCCAGGCCACUUGUCUUGCUCCUGGCAGGGCCUGCCUGCUCAGGAAGCAGGACACGGCAGGCGGCGGUACCCACACAGCCUCUGAGGACCUUAUGCUGAGCACGCAGGCGGCGCCUGGCACCGGCACUGAGCCCCCCGGGUGGCAGCUCGCCCCACCCCGGGUUCGCCCUGCCCCUCCCUGGGUUGCGGCCUCUGCGGGGGAAGUAGGCCCGCUGCCAGCCGGGGCAGCCUUUAAAGAGGACACCCACCCUCCCCAGCGACAUCUCUCCUGGGCUGUGGCCACUGAGAGCAGAGGCAGUGGGGGGUGGGGCUACAAAUCCUCCCCCUCAAAGCGCAUCCCUGGGGCGGGACAAGAGUGGAGGGCAUAGAUGGCAGAGGGAACCCCAAGACGUGCCGUCCUUGGUCUUGGUCUUCUGCCACCCUUAGACAAAGAAAUGUACUUUAAAAAAAUUAAUUAGCUCUAAUUAGUUGUACAUAACAGCAGAAUUCACUUUGGUUCAUUGUACAGAAAUGGAGCACAGCUUUCAUUUCUCUGGUAGAACACGAUGUAGAGUUGCACCAUAUGUGCAGUCCUGCAUGUACCUAGGGUAAUGAUAUCCCUCUCAUUCCACCCUCUUUCCUACCCCAUGCCCGUCCCUCCUAUCCUUCCCCUUUGCCCCAAGUUCCUCCAUUCUUCCCUUGCCCCCCUCAUUAUGGAUCAGCAUCCACUUAUCAGGGAGAACAUUCAGCCUGUUGUUUUUGAGGAUUAGCUUUUUUCACUUACAUAAUAUUCUCCAACUCCAUCCACUUACCUGCAAGUGUCAUAAUUUUAUUCUCUUUUAAAGCUAAGAUUCCAUUGUGCACAUAUACCUCAUUUUCUUUAUCGAUUUAGCUCUUGAAGGACUUCUAGGUUGGUUCCACAGUUUACCUACUGUGACUUGAGCUGCUAUAAACAUUGAUGUGGCUGCAUCACUCUAGUAUGCUGAUUUUAAGUCUUUUGGGUAUAGAUUGAGGAGUGGAAUUUCUGGGUCAAAUGGAGGUUCCAUUCCACGUUUUUUGAGGAAGCUCCAUUCUGCUUUCCAGAGUGGUUGCACCAAUUUGCAAUGCCACUAGCAAUGUAUGAGUAUACCUUUCCCCCCACAUCCUCACCAACACUUAUUGUUGCUUGUAUUCUUGUUAACUGCCAUUCUGGCUGGAGUAAGAUGGUCUUAGAGUAGUUUUGAUUUGCAUUUCUCUAAUUUCUGGUGAAGUUGAACAUAUUUUCAUAUAUUUGUUGAUCGACUGUGUAUUUUCUUCUGUGAAGUGUCUGUCCAUUUCCUUAGCCCAUUUAUUGAUUGGGUUAUUUAUUCUUUGGGUGUUGAAGUUUUUGAGUUUUUUAUAUAU